rnacentral:rRNA from 1 species
AUUGAACGCUGGCGGCAUGCUUUACACAUGCAAGUCGAACGGCAGCGCGGGCUUCGGCCUGGCGGCGAGUGGCGAACGGGUGAGUAAUGCAUCGGAACGUGCCCAGUAGUGGGGGAUAGCCCGGCGAAAGCCGGAUUAAUACCGCAUACGACCUGAGGGUGAAAGCGGGGGACCGAAAGGCCUCGCGCUAUUGGAGCGGCCGAUGUCGGAUUAGCUAGUUGGUGGGGUAAAGGCUGACCAAGGCGACGAUCCGUAGCUGGUCUGAGAGGACGACCAGCCACACUGGGACUGAGACACGGCCCAGACUCCUACGGGAGGCAGCAGUGGGGAAUUUUGGACAAUGGGGGCAACCCUGAUCCAGCCAUGCCGCGUGCGGGAAGAAGGCCUUCGGGUUGUAAACCGCUUUUGUUCGGGAAGAAAUCCUCUGGGCUAAUACCCCGGGGGGAUGACGGUACCGGAAGAAUAAGCACCGGCUAACUACGUG